CGCGUAGGCGGUUUGUAUAGUCAGGCGUGAAAUUCCUGGGCUCAACCUGGGGGCUGCGCUUGAUACGUGCGGACUUGAGUGCGGAAGAGGGUCGUGGAAUUCCCAGUGUAGAGGUGAAAUUCGUAGAUAUUGGGAAGAACACCGGUGGCGAAGGCGGCGACCUGGUCCGUAACUGACGCUGAGGCGCGAAAGCGUGGGGAGCAAACAGGAUUAGAUACCCUGGUAGUCCACGCCGUAAACGAUGUGCGCUGGAUGUUGGGUGGCCUAGCCACUCAGUGUCGUAGCUAACGCGGUAAGCGCACCGCCUGGGGAGUACGGCCGCAAGGUUGAA
rnacentral:rRNA from 1 species